CAACAAUUCACAGAGCACUUAUCUGAAGUUUUCCUGCCACUUUUAGUCCAAGAACCCCUUUUAUACCCAAUAUAGUAUGGUUGAUUUUGAUCAUAUUUUAAUGAUCAAAAUAUAAACUGCUCCAACAGAAUAAGACCACCUGUCAAGUAGCAUUGUGGAAGUUCUUGUAAAUUACAGCAUUUUAGCAUACCCCAAGCAAGUCUCAGUACAACUUGCAGCUCUCCAAAACCAGUCUCUGGCAAGGGUUCAUUUUCCCGUGGCUUUGUGAAGAAAGCAAUCGUCUGGGUAUCAUUUAACGUGUAAAAGCAGGACAUGGUAACGCUAACAAGGAGAAAGUAAAAAAAACCCUAAUCUUCUCACAGAUGAAACAUGAAGUGACAAUAUACCCCAGUAAAUAGAUACAAUUUAAAAUCACGUCUCGCACGCUUUAAUGCCCUUUGAAUGGAACAUACGCUCCUUUCGAACUGGAAUCAUGGCGGAAUAUCCAGUGAAGUCAACAAAGUGGGGUGGUCUAGGCAUAAAAGGGGUCUUGAUGGGGAAGAGGACUUUGUAUCUAGUAGAAUCCAUGCCCCCGUCACUCCACAGUAACUCCAGCAUUGGCUCAAUGUCAUAUGUGAUGUGGUACUGGUUAUUUACAACAUGACUCUACAACAGAAUAUAACCAUUAGGUUUAGCACAAGACUAAAAAGUUGUCAAAUUAAAGCGAGAAACCAAACCUUGUAGAAGCCAUCUGGUCCACCGAUUGGCAUUUUCAUUAUGAUUAGAUCAUCCACGAUGGUCAAAACGUAGCCUCUAGCCGCCAUUUGUAAAGAAUCUAUCUGCUUUCCAUCUAUUCCCAUGAACAUCUCAAGGAGAUUGGUUUCUCUAGAACUCAUUAGUGGAUUAAAACGGGGGAAGUUCCAGGUGAUCAUCUCAUCCGUAAAAGAAAGCCCACCUGUGAGUGAAGCAAUAUAUCAGGGUUCUGCCAUCGGUGUCUUGGAGACCCACUUACCUGCAGUUUAGCAACACCUGACUGAUUUGAG
rnacentral:lncRNA from 1 species